rnacentral:rRNA from 1 species
AGUCGAGGGGCAGCAUUUUAGUUUGCUUGCAAACUAAAGAUGGCGACCGGCGCACGGGUGAGUAACACGUAUCCAACCUGCCGAUAACUCGGGGAUAGCCUUUCGAAAGAAAGAUUAAUAUCCGAUAGUAUAUUAAAACCGCAUGGUUUUACUAUUAAAGAAUUUCGGUUAUCGAUGGGGAUGCGUUCCAUUAGUUUGUUGGCGGGGUAACGGCCCACCAAGACUACGAUGGAUAGGGGUUCUGAGAGGAAGGUCCCCCACAUUGGAACUGAGACACGGUCCAAACUCNUACGGGAGGCAGCAGUGAGGAAUAUUGGUCAAUGGACGAGAGUCUGAACCAGCCAAGUAGCGUGAAGGAUGACUGCCCCUAUGGGUUGUAAACUUCUUUUAUAUGGGAAUAAAGUAUUCCCACGUGUGGGAUUUUGUAUGUACCAUAUGAAUAAGGAUCGGCUAACUCCGUGCCAGCAGCCGCGGUAAUACGGAGGAUCCGAGCGUUAUCCGGAUUUAUUUGGGUUUAAAGGGAGCGUAGGUGGAUUGUUAAGUCAGUUGUGAAAGUUUGCGGCUCAACCGUAAAAUUGCAGUUGAAACUGGCAGUCUUGAGUACAGUAGAGGUGGGCGGAAUUCGUGGUGUAGCGGUGAAAUGCUUAGAUAUCACGAAGAACUCCGAUUGCGAAGGCAGCUCACUAGACUGCAACUGACACUGAUGCUCGAAAGUGUGGGUAUCAAACAGGAUUAGAUACCCUGGUAGUCCACACAGUAAACGAUGAAUACUCGCUGUUUGCGAUAUACAGUAAGCGGCCAAGCGAAAGCAUUAAGUAUUCCACCUGGGGAGUACGCCGGCAACGGUGAAACUCAAAGGAAUUGACGGGGGCCCGCACAAGCGGAGGAACAUGUGGUUUAAUUCGAUGAUACGCGAGGAACCUUACCCGGGCUUAAAUUGCAUUUGAAUAAUCUGGAAACAGGUUAGCCGCAAGGCAAAUGUGAAGGUGCUGCAUGGUUGUCGUCAGCUCGUGCCGUGAGGUGUCGGCUUAAGUGCCAUAACGAGCGCAACCCUUAUCUUUAGUUACUAACAGGUCAUGCUGAGGACUCUAGAGAGACUGCCGUCGUAAGAUGUGAGGAAGGUGGGGAUGACGUCAAAUCAGCACGGCCCUUACGUCCGGGGCUACACACGUGUUACAAUGGGGGGUACAGAAGGCAGCUACCUGGCGACAGGAUGCUAAUCCCAAAAACCUCUCUCAGUUCGGAUCGAAGUCUGCAACCCGACUUCGUGAAGCUGGAUUCGCUAGUAAUCGCGCAUCAGCCAUGGCGCGGUGAAUACGUUCCCGGGCCUUGUACACACCGCCCGUCAAGCCAUGAAAGCCGGGGGUACCUGAAGUACGAACCGCAAGGAGCUCCUAGG